rnacentral:rRNA from 1 species
UAGUCCACACCGUAAACGAUGAGAGCUAGUUGUCUGCAGGCAUGCUUGUAGGUGACGCAGCUAACGCAUUAAGCUCUCCGCCUGGGGAGUACGGUCGCAAGAUUAAAACUCAAAGAAAUUGACGGGGCCCGCACAAGCGGUGGAGCAUGUGGUUUAAUUCGAAGCAACGCGCAGAACCUUACCUACCCUUGACAUGCCGGUCGCGGUUUCCAGAGAUGGAUUCCUUCAACUCGGUUGGACCGUGCACAGGUGCUGCAUGGUUGUCGUCAGCUCGUGUCGUGAGAUGUUGGGUUAAGUCCCGCAACGAGCGCAACCCUCACUGUUAGUUGCCAGCAUUUAGUUGGGCACUCUAGCAGAACUGCCGGUGCUAAGCCGGAGGAAGGUGGGGGAUGACGUCAAGUCCUCAUGGGGCCCUUACGGGGUAGGGGCUACACACGUGCUACAAUGGUAUCUACAGUGAGCAGCGAUCCCG